rnacentral:rRNA from 1 species
GUCUACGGCCAUGCUACCCUGAACAAGCCCGAUCCUGUCUGAUCUUGGAAGCUAAUGAGGGUCAAGCCUGGUUAGUACUUGGAUGAGAGACCACCUAGGAAAACCAGGUGCUGUAGGUG